rnacentral:rRNA from 1 species
CCUACGGGUGGCAGCAGUCGGGAAUUUUGCCCAAUGGACGAAAGUCUGAGGCAGCAACGCCGCGUGAGGGAUGAAGGCCUUCGGGUUGUAAACCUCUUUUCUCAGGGACGAUGAUGACGGUACCUGAGGAAUAAGCCACGGCAAACUACGUGCCAGCAGCCGCGGUAAUACGUAGGUGGCAAGCGUUGUCCGGAUUUACUGGGCGUAAAGAGCGCGCAGGCGGUCGGUCAAGUCGGAUGUGAAAGCCCCCGGCUCAACUGGGGAGGGUCAUUCGAUACUGAUCGACUCGAAGGCAGGAGAGAGAAGCGGAAUUCCCGGUGUAGUGGUGAAAUGCGUAGAUAUCGGGAGGAACACCAGAGGCGAAGGCGGCUUCUUGGCCUGUUCUUGACGCUGAGGCGCGAAAGCCAGGGGAGCAAACGGGAUUAGAUACCCCAGUAGUC